rnacentral:rRNA from 1 species
AUGCUAUUUGGAAGGUCCAUAUUUUUCAUUUUUUUUUCAGUGACAAGCAUGAUCUACGCCCUUGCAUUUGGUACCUAUACGGUGUUAGCUUCAACUGCUCCUGUGUAUGGAAAUGCAGUACUUGCCAGCCUUACUCUCAUAUUGAUCUAUCACCUUUGGGAAGGGGGCAUUAUGGCAAAUGCUGUGUUAGUAGCAAUCUGCAAGAGAAAAGGGAUAUGCUAUGGGAUAAUGGCAUUCCCGAGAAUAGCAUUUUUACAUGUGGGCUUUCUUGUUCUAUCUCUGUCUUUGGCCCUUCUGUUUGUCCCGACGACUCACACUGGUGGCAAAGCGGAACCGCCAGCACAACCACCGACACCAUUUGCUUGA